CACGUAGGCGGACUGGUCAGUUGGGGGUGAAAUCCCAGGGCUCAACCCUGGAACUGCCUCCAAUACUGCCAGUCUUGAGUCCGAGAGAGGUGAGUGGAAUUCCUAGUGUAGAGGUGAAAUUCGUAGAUAUUAGGAAGAACACCAGUGGCGAAGGCGGCUCACUGGCUCGGUACUGACGCUGAGGUGUGAAAGCGUGGGAGCAAACA
rnacentral:rRNA from 1 species